rnacentral:lncRNA from 1 species
AAAAGAUUCAGUUUUUAAUUUGAAUUUGCUUUUCUUUACUGGGAAGAGGAAAAAUAAAUAAAUAAAAAACACAAAUUAAUUGGCCCUGCUUUGCACAGAAGGAAUGAUUAAUCUCCUGCAUGCAGGAGCAUCUGUCUACUACUCCUGCCUGAAUUCCUCAAAAGGCUAAGAGUGUUUCUAAUGGUCAUUUAAAUAAUAAAUGCCACUACACUCAUUAGGGGUGUAUCAGCCGUUCGUUUUCUGCUCUGGUGCUUGUUGUAUUCUAUUAAUAUUUAUUGAAUUCAAGGAAAUUCAUUCUGAGCUACUGGUCUACAUUUCUUUUCAAGGUCACCAAAUAUAAAUAUUUUAUUUAUCUAAUUUAGAAAAACGACAUCAGAUGCCAUGCAGCAAACAUGACAAGAGUAUGAAUUAGCGGAAAGCUUCCCUGGGGAAAUGUAUCCAGGUUCCAGUAAUGGAUAAUUAUAAAUCCAAUAGCUUCUCUCCUACCAGGGUUGCAUUGCAUACUUGCUGUGUAUGCAUAGCCCAGGAAGGUCCUCUUUCUUCCCCACCAGUAAUGAGACAGAGAAGAACCUGAUGAAAUGCUGUGUUCUCAAAGUUCCUCUGAUGAGGAGGAGCCUGAAUAGCCCUGUCAUGAGAUCGCUGUGUGACAGACGAGAUGAAUUGCCCUCCAGAAGUGCCUGCUCUCAGUGGGGACCAAGGAGGUAACUACCUUAAACAGGUCACAUAACAAUCAGGUAAUUUCACUCUGGAGACCAGAAACCUUAAACUCUUCAAAUGAGUAGCACGUGAUACAGAUAGCAGUUGUGCUUGGGGAAAAUGCCAGUCGUCUCAUGAAAGGUUUGCUUCCUUGGUGUGUGUGGAGGAUACCUGGUGCAGAUUGUUCAUACAAAGGCACGUGGGCAUCAUGCAAGCUCCAAGGACUUGUCCAGAAGUCUGGAGGAAGCACUGGUUUGGAUUUGAGAAGAUGUGGUACCUCGUCAUUCUACCUUAUAAUUCUUCUGGGAAUUUGGCAAAUCCUUUAGUGCAAAAGCAUUGGUAAUUCAGUGCCUGAAUACCCUAAAUAUGGCCCCCCAAAACUUUGUGUCUGGGUUCCUGGCUUGGCACUGACGUAACUGGUCAAGCUUUUUAUGCUGUAUCUUACUGAAUUUAUGAGGACUUUUGGGGGUGGGAUUUUCUCACUCUACCAGAAGGUUAAGACUAGUGUGAAUUAGAUUUACCAGUGCCUUUGAAGUUCCUAUUUGUCGUCAUCUCAGCAUGUGUUGGCUCCUAGAUAUGUUUAAAAUCCAGCCUCCUGACCAUAGCACUUGACAUACCACUGCCAUAACAAGAUUGGUCCCUUAAGAAUACUUCUUCAGUGUUGUUCUCCUUAAUCUGAUAUCCCAAAGUAGUGAACUUCCACCACUCCCCUGGAUUGUUUAGGAUCAUUUCACAAGCUGAUAAAGUCAGGAAGGACAGAUAGCAAUUCUGCAACUUGUCUUGACGUAUGUGAGUACCCUGCCAAAGUGUAUUACAACAUAUUGAAUGGGUCUGUUGCUGGCUGCACCUGGGUUAUGCAGAAUACUAAGAAGGACUCAGAAAAAGUAUUUUUCUUCUUCUCAGUUGGGGGGGAAGAGCUGAUACUGUUUUAACCUUACUCUAUCUUUCUGUUCCUAAGUUGAACUGGAUAUAUCUAGGUUGGCUACAAUUCAGCUUCCACAGUAACAGAUCUUUUUCUGGCAGCAGAAAAAGAUGCAAAUUAUUUUCAUGUGGCAGGUGUUUCAACCAAAUAUCCUGGGAUCAAACUAACAUUUAUCAAGUACCUUGAAUCACAGCGUUAUGUACUCGGUGGGCAUUGCCCACGGGGAGGUAAUGCAUCAGCAGGCUGAGAAGCUUAGAACACAAAGGAAGAGAAUAACAAAUCACAAAUCAACAAACUCAAUUGUAUUAAACGUGCUGCCCAGGGAUGCUUUCCUCUGGCAAGAAAAUAUUCAGAUGCAAACUUACCAUUAGGAGUUUAAAAAAUAAACCAACUGUAGGUAAAUGAUAGUUAUUUGCU